rnacentral:rRNA from 1 species
GCUAAGAAUAUUCCGCAAUGGACGAAAGUCUGACGGAGCGACGCCGCGUGGAUGAGGAAGGCCGAAAGGUUGUAAAGUCCUUUUGUCGAUGAAGAAUAAGUGGUGGAGGGAAUGCCAUCAUGAUGACGUUAGUCGGCGAAUAAGCCCCGGCUAAUUACGUGCCAGCAGCCGCGGUAACACGUAAGGGGCAAGCGUUGUUCGGAAUUAUUGGGCGGAAAGGGUCGGUAGGCGGUUAUGUAAGCCCGGCGUGAAAUCCUGCAGCUUAACUGGAGAGCUGCGCUGGGAACUGCGUAACUUGAGUCAUGGAAGGGAAGUUAGAAUUCCAGGUGUAGGGGUGAAAUCUGUAGAUAUCUGGAAGAAUACCGGUGGCGAAGGCGAACUUCUGGCCAAUGACUGACGCUGAGGUACGAAAGUGCGGGGAGCAAACAGGAUUAGAAACCCGGGUAGUCC